rnacentral:lncRNA from 1 species
UGUCCCACUUACUCUGAGCUCCUUGAAUCUUUUUUUAUCAUCUCCAGCCAGGAUUUUGGAUGGAGUUAUAAGCAGAUGACAGAAAUUUAGGCCGCUGGCCACAUUCAUACUGUAUCAUUGGAUGUAAAGGCCGAAGAAUUCCAAAUGACGUUCUGGCCUCUGGUCAGGUGAAAUGGUGAGAAAACCCCAAGAUCAUAUCUUCCCACCCCUCUCCUGCCGCCCUCUUGUGUCCACUCCAUCCCCCACCAUCUAUAAAAAGAUGGCAAAAGACACAAAAUAGAAGACACAAAGAAGCUGCAUCCCCCACUGCGUCUCUGGUGCAGGCCAGCCAGCACCCACCCAGGUUUGCAUGCUCCAAGGAGAGGAAGAAGCAAGAGUCAGUGAAACUUGCCACCUGCAAAUCCAGGACACUGCAA